rnacentral:rRNA from 1 species
AACGAACGCUGGCGGCAGGCUUAACACAUGCAAGUCGAGCGCCCCGCAAGGGGAGCGGCAGGCGGGUGAGUAACGCGUGGGAACGUACCCUUUGCUACGGAAUAGCUCCGGGAAACUGGAAUUAAUACCGUAUGUGCCCUACGGGGGAAAGAUUUAUCGGCAAAGGAUCGGCCCGCGUUGGAUUAGCUAGUUGGUGGGGUAAUGGCCUACCAAGGCGACGAUCCAUAGCUGGUCUGAGAGGAUGAUCAGCCACAUUGGGACUGAGACACGGCCCAAACGCCUACGGGAGGCAGCAGUGGAGAAUAUUGGACAAUGGCCGCAAGCCUGAUCCAGCCAUGCCGCGUGAGUGAUGAAGGCCUUAGGGUUGUAAAGCUCUUUCACCGGAGAAGAUAAUGACGGUAUCCGGAGAAGAAGCCCCGGCUAACUUCGUGCCAGCAGCCGCCGUAAGAC